rnacentral:rRNA from 1 species
AGAGUUUGAUCCUGGCUCAGGAUGAACGCUGGCGGCGUGCCUAAUACAUGCAAGUCGGACGGUCCCCUUCGGGGGAUAGUGGCGAACGGGUGAGUAACGCGUGGGUGACCUGCCCCUGGGAGGGGGACAACAGCUCGAAAGGGCUGCUAAUACCCCAUGAGCUGGUGGUGGUUAGAGGGCCAGCAGCAAAGCCGCAAGGCGCCCGGGGAGGGGCCCGCGUCCCAUCAGCUAGUUGGCGGGGUAACGGCCCACCAAGGCGAUGACGGGUAGGGGACCUGAGAGGGUGGCCCCCCACAAUGGAACUGAAACACGGUCCAUACACCUACGGGUGGCAGCAGUAGGGAAUAUUGCACAAUGGGCGCAAGCCUGAUGCAGCAACGCCGCGUGGGCGAUUGAAGGCCUUCGGGUUGUAAAGCCCUUUUGCGCGGGAAGAGGAAGGACGGUACCGCGCGAAUAAGCCUCGGCUAACUACGUGCCAGCAGCCGCGGUAAAACGUAGGAGGCGAGCGUUAUCCGGAUUUACUGGGCGUAAAGCGCGUGCAGGCGGCCCGGCAAGUUGGCUGUGAAAGCCCCCGGCUCAACCGGGGGAGGUCGGUCAAAACUGCCGGUGCUAGAGGAUGGGAGAGGGAGAUGGAAUUCCGGGUGUAGUGGUGAAAUGCGUAGAGAUCCGGAGGAACACCAGUGGCGAAAGCGAUCUUCUGGCCCAUCACUGACGCUCAGACGCGAAAGCUAGGGGAGCGAACGGGAUUAGAUACCCCGGUAGUCCUAGCCGUAAACGAUGUAGACUAGGCGUGGGCGGGUUCAAAUCCGUCCGUGCCGCAGCCAACGCGAUAAGUCUACCGCCUGGGGACUACGGCCGCAAGGUUAAAACUCAAAGGAAUUGACGGGGGCCCGCACAAGCAGCGGAGCGUGUGGUUUAA